rnacentral:piRNA from 1 species
UCGGGCUAUGAUAGCACCUUA